UAAAUAAUCACAACAAAAAACAAAUGGAUAAUAAACAAAUAAUAAAUAUACAUAAACUUAUAAUCAUUCCCAAACCUCCCCAUUUCAAACAUAAUAAUAACAUGAUUUCAUUUGUUAUAUGGCACUACGUGUCGGGUAUCGUAUACCUACAGCACACCGUUUCCCGUACUAAUAGUUGUAGAUUUUACAUUUUACCGGCGUACAUCCGGCAAAGUGUUUAGUGCUAUUAUAGUAUUAUUAUAAUGGACAGUCGGGAAAAGCUAACAGAUUCAAAUACGGACAACAUAUACGAUAAGAUCAUAUAAAGGCAGGACAGCUAGUAGUUUACAUAAAGAAUCACAUUAGUACACACUUAAUCGUUUGCUCUGGUUCCUGUCUGAUUUUUGUCUAAGUUAUAUAUAUAUAUAUAUAUAGAUAGGACUAGUCUUCAACUUAAAUCAAUCAAACCAUAUGGUUGGGAGUAGUAGUGGCAGGACCACCAGGAG
rnacentral:lncRNA from 1 species